rnacentral:rRNA from 1 species
GCCCAGACUCCUACGGGAGGCAGCAGUGGGGAAUAUUGCACAAUGGGGGAAACCCUGAUGCAGCGACGUCGCGUGAGCGAUGAAGUAUUUCGGUAUGUAAAGCUCUCUCAGCAGGGAAGAAAAUGACGGUACCUGACUAAGAAGCCCCGGCUAACUACGUGCCAGCAGCCGCGGUAAUACGUAGGGGGCAAGCGUUAUCCGGAUUUACUGGGUGUAAAGGGAGCGUAGACGGCAUGGCAAGCCAGAUGUGAAAUACCGGGGCUCAACCCCGGGACUGCAUUUGGAACUGCGUGGCUGGAGUGCAGGAGGGGCAGGCGGAAUUCCUAGUGUAGCGGUGAAAUGCGUAGAUAUUAGGAGGAACACCGGCGGCGAAGGCGGCCUGCUGGACCGCGACUGACGUUGAGGCUCGAAAGCGUGGGGAGCGAACAGGAUUAGAUACCCGGGUAAAA